rnacentral:rRNA from 1 species
CCUACGGGAGGCAGCAGUGGGGAAUAUUGCACAAUGGGCGAAAGCCUGAUGCAGCAACGCCGCGUGAGUGAUGAAGGCCUUCGGGUCGUAAAGCUCUGUCCUCAAGGAAGAAAAUGACGGUACUUGAGGAGGAAGCCCCGGCUAACUACGUGCCAGCAGCCGCGGUAAUACGGAGGGAGCGAGCGUUAAUCGGAAUUACUGGGCGUAAAGCGCUCGUAGGCGGUAUGUCAAGUCAAGGGUGAAAUCCCCGGGCUCAACGUGGGAACUGCCUUUGAAACUGGCAAACUGGAGUGUGUGAGAGGAUAGUGGAAUUCCAGGUGUAGCGGUGAAAUCCGUAGAUAUCUGGAGGAACACCAGUGGCGAAGGCGACUUUCUGGCACAUAACUGACGCUGAGGCGCGAAAGCGUGGGUAGCAAACAGGAUUAGAUACCCCAGUAGUU